rnacentral:rRNA from 1 species
GUGAGGAAUAUUGGUCAAUGGUCGCAAGACUGAACCAGCCAUGCCGCGUGCAGGAAGACGGUCCUAUGGAUUGUAAACUGCUUUUAUACAGGAAGAAACCCUCCCACGUGUGGGAGCUUGACGGUACUGUAGGAAUAAGGAUCGGCUAACUCCGUGCCAGCAGCCGCGGUGAUACGGAGGAUCCAAGCGUUAUCCGGAAUCAUUGGGUUUAAAGGGUCCGUAGGCGGUCUUAUAAGUCAGUGGUGAAAGCCCAUCGCUCAACGAUGGAACUGCCAUUGAUACUGUAGGACUUGAAUGCUUAGGAAGUAACUAGAAUAUGUAGUGUAGCGGUGAAAUGCUUAGAUAUUACAUGGAAUACCAAUUGCGAAGGCAGGUUACUACUAAGUGAUUGACGCUGAUGGACGAAAGCGUGGGGAGCGAACAGGAUUAGAAACCCUGGUAGUCC